CUUAGCUCAAUGGCAGAGCACUUGCCUAGCAUGAGCAAGGUCCUGGGUUCAAUUCCUAGAG
rnacentral:tRNA from 1 species